CAGUCGCCACGGGAAUACAGAGGGUGCGAGCGUUAAUCGGAUUUACUGGGCGUAAAGCGUGCGUAGGCGGCUUCUUAAGUCGGAUGUGAAAUCCCUGAGCUUAACUUAGGAAUUGCAUUCGAUACUGGGAAGCUAGAGUAUGGGAGAGGAUGGUAGAAUUCCAGGUGUAGCGGUGAAAUGCGUAGAGAUCUGGAGGAAUACCGAUGGCGAAGGCAGCCAUCUGGCCUAAUACUGACGCUGAGGUACGAAAGCAUGGGGAGCAAACAGGAUUAGAUACCCGAGUAGUCCCUGUCUCUUAUAA
rnacentral:rRNA from 1 species